AUUUAAUAAUCGUUUUGCAAAAAAAAAAAAAAAAAAUUCUAAGGUUUCUUUUCUGGCAAGAAUUAUUACUGAAAUCAAGAAUCGCACAUUUUACUUUCAGAGGCAAAUAGAAGUCGGCACCUUGAUAGAACUGUACCGAGAUGCUUUAAAUGGUAUGAUUGAUGAAGUCUGGACGGAAGAUCAAAUUUUGAAGGUGCAUAGUAUCGUAAAAACGCUGAAAAAGCAGUAAUUGGUUCUGCGCAAUAUGCUUUGAGCAUACAGGGUGUCAUGGUUAACGUGCAUAUGCUCGAAAACUUGCUCAAUAUUGUUGAUAAAUGCUGUGAGUCGCCAUUAAGUGAGCCAUUAGUAGUAGAAUGUGUUGCAACAAUAUCUGCCAUAUUAGUCGGUGCCUCGUUGGGAAAGGAAAAGAUGCAACGAAUUGAUGGUUAUAGUAUGCUUUUCUCAUCUCUUUACAAAAUUGGGAACCCUGGUCGAAGUCUCCUCGAAGCUGUGUUAUCAAUUGCCAUCGAAAAUUACUCACUUGAAGAAUCCAGCUGUUUGAAGAACUGUGAAGUGCUUAUAUUUAUCAUUAAGUGGAUAAUCAAAUUCAAUGAGCCAGAUCAGAUAUGGUUGUCUCGAAUUCUCUGCCAGCUGUGUACAAAAAAUUUACAAAGCAAAAGCAAAGCAACUAGUAGUGGCGCUGUCUUAGCAAUAUUGAACUGUUUGACUGAACAUGAUUCUUUAACGGAAACUGCUGCAAAUGACCUUAUAGCAUUCUUAGAAGCCCUUGUAUCACACUCUGUCACUGUUGCUGAGUUAAAACAUAUUUUUCUGCUUCUGAGGGAUGAUGGUAACACCAAGUGUCCGUAUUGGGAAAGACUGUACCACGCUCUGUGUAACAUAGCACGGAACAGUUGCCAGCAGCAAACUUGUCAUAAUUAUUUUGACAUCCAAUCUGCCUCAGGUAAUCCAUGCAAUCUUUCAUAACUUGUUCAAAAUUCCCAAUCAUUUCGUCAGCUUCUGGCCAAAGUAUCACAAGCACCAUGUGACGUCUAAAAAUGUCCGCUGCUAUUUCAUUUUUUUACGGAGAAAUUAUUGGUUGAAUCUAUUUGAAAAUUUCACUUAAUUUUAUCGGCAGCGCAAAGAGAAUUCAGUGAAAUUUUCGGAAAGUUUUGUUGAACAAUUUCUCUGUAAAAAAUAAAAUGGCGGCGGAAAUUUUUGAACGUCGCAUGGCGCUUGUGAUACUUUGGCCGGAAGGUGACAAUUUCAUAAACAUGAGGAGCCAGUUGACGCCAUCAGGGUG
rnacentral:lncRNA from 1 species